rnacentral:rRNA from 1 species
CACGUAGGGACCAAGCGUUGUCCGGAAUUAUUGGGCGUAAAGAGCUCGUAGGCGGUGUGUCGCGUCGGCCGUGAAAACCUGCAGCUUAACUGUGGGCUUGCGGUCGAUACGGGCAUCACUGGAGUUCGGCAGGGGAGACUGGAAUUCCUGGUGUAGCGGUGAAAUGCGCAGAUAUCAGGAGGAACACCGGUGGCGAAGGCGGGUCUCUGGGCCGAUACUGACGCUGAGGAGCGAAAGCGUGGGGAGCGAACAGG